UACGUAGGGGGCAAGCGUUAUCCGGAAUCAUUGGGCGUAAAGCGCGUGUAGGCGGUUCCGUAAGUCCGCUCUGAAAGCCUAGGGCUCAACCCUGGGAGGCGGGUGGAUACUACGGAACUGGAGUACGGAAGAGGAGAUUGGAAUUCCUGGUGUAGCGGUGAAAUGCGCAGAUAUCAGGAGGAACACCAACAGCGAAGGCAGAUCUCUGGGACGUUACUGACGCUGAGACGCGAAAGCGUGGGGAGCAAACAGG
rnacentral:rRNA from 1 species